GACGAACGCUGGCGGCGUGCUUAACACAUGCAAGUCGAACGGAAAGGCCCUGCUUUUGUGGGGUGCUCGAGUGGCGAACGGGUGAGUAACACGUGAGUAACCUGCCCUUGACUUUGGGAUAACUUCAGGAAACUGGGGCUAAUACCGGAUAGGAGCUCCUGCUGCAUGGUGGGGGUUGGAAAGUUUCGGCGGUUGGGGAUGGACUCGCGGCUUAUCAGCUUGUUGGUGGGGUAGUGGCUUACCAAGGCUUUGACGGGUAGCCGGCCUGAGAGGGUGACCGGCGACAUUGGGACUGAGAGACGGCGCAGACGCCUACGGGAGGCAGCAGGGGGGAAUAUUGCACAAUGGGCGGAAGCCUGAUGCAGCAACGCCGCGGGCGGGAUGACGGCCUGCGGGUUGUAAACCGCUUUCGCCUGUGACGAAGCGUGAGUGACGGUAAUGGGUAAAGAAGCACCGGCUAACUACGUG
rnacentral:rRNA from 1 species